GCAACUGUUUACCAAAAACACAGGUUUGUGCUAAAUCGAAAGAUGACGUAUACGAGCUGACGCCUGCCCGGUGCUGGAAGGUUAAGAGGAGAUGUGCAAGCAUUGAAUCGAAGCCCCAGUGAACGGCGGCCGUAACUAUAACGGUCCUAAGGUAGCGAAAUUCCUUGUCAGGUAAGUUCUGACCCGCAUGAAAGGCGUAAUGAUUUGGGCACUGUCUCAACAGCCCGCCCGGCGAAAUUGUAGUACCGGUGAAGAUGCCGGUUACCCGCGACAAGACGGAAAGACCCCAUGGAGCUUUACUGUAGCCUAAUAUUGGGUUUCGAUGUUGCAUGCACAGGAUAGAUGGGACACAGGGAAACAAGUGCUUUGGCAUUUGUGGAGUGGCCGUUGGGAUACCAUCCUUGCGAUAUUGGAAUUCUAACCUGCGCCUUUGAAUCAAGGCGGGGGACAUUGUUAGGUGGGCAGUUUGACUGGGGCGGUCGCCUCCUAAAGAGUAACGGAGGCGUUCAAAGGUUCGCUCAGCUUGAACGGAAAUCAAGCAAAAGAGUGCAAACGCAGAAGCGAGCCUAACUGCGAGACUGACGGGUCGAGCAGUAACGAAAGUUGGAGUUAGUGAUCCGGUGGUAUGUGAGUGGAAAUGCCAUCGCUCAACGGAUAAAAGUUACCCUGGGGAUAACAGGCUGAUCUCCCCCAAGAGUCCACAUCGACGGGGAGGUUUGGCACCUCGAUGUCGGCUCAUCGCAUCCUGGGGCUGUAUUCGGUCCCAAGGGUUUGGCUGUUCGCCAAUUAAAGCGGUACGCGAGCUGGGUUCAGAACGUCGUGAGACAGUUCGGUCCCUAUCUGUCGUGGGCGCAGGAUAUUUGAUGGGAGCUGUUCCUAGUACGAGAGGACCGGAGCGGACGUACCUCUGGCGCACCAGUUGUUCUGCCAAGGGCAUAGCUGGGCAACUAUGUACGGAUCGGAUAAACGCUGAAAGCAUCUAAGCGUGAAGCCGACCCAAAGAUAAGAUAUCCCAUUGUUUCAAACAAGUAAGACCCCUUGAAGACUACAAGGUUGAUAGGCACGAUGUGUAAGUGGAGUGAUCCAUUCAGCAAGCGUGUACUAAUAGGUCGAGGGCUUGACCAC
rnacentral:rRNA from 1 species